UGUAAUCGAUAACAUAUAGCUGAGAAUCGUGAUCGGAUCGCUGAAUAUUAUCGAAGCCCAAACAAUAACAAGCAAAGUUUAAACCAAUUUGCAAUGUAGCUUCUGCAUAAAUAAUUGACGGAAUAACUGGCUUCGCUCCGGCGUAAUUAGCCGGAAUUCAUGGAAUAGAAUCCCUUCACCAAAAGAUGACAACGCGGGCGAGGCCAAAAGUCAAAUACCAGGGCCAAAUGCACGCACAGCACAGAAGAAACGCAGGUGAAGGCGAUGCGAUGCGAUGGCAAAAGGCAAAGGCGUGUGCCAUCUAAAAUUUAUAAAAAUCAAAGUAAGCACUGCGAGCGCAAGGAGAAGAACUUUCCGAUGACCGACACUGAAUUUAAGAAGUUAUGGGUUAUGGGAAUGCGCCACGCAUCUUAAAGCUUAACUGCAUACUUUUGUUUUCAUUAGUUUAUUCUUUAAAAAAUGUAUAAAUAUGUUAUCUUAUAAGUUAUCUUACCAGAUAAAAUAAGAUUCAUAUCAUUUCAUAGAGCUUACAGUGCAAACCAUUCGACGAAAGUAAGCGACUCUGCCAAAGGAGUGGGAUGAUGAAAUCGAGGAGCAGGAGGUCAGCUCCGCAGCGAGUAAAACAAAAGGGAAAUGUCGAAAAGGAAUCUGGAUACACAUCAUCAUUUGUCUUGGCGGGAAGAAGGCGGUGGUGGCCACCAAGGCAGCGGAGACUGGCUCCAUUUAGGCCAGGCGCACAUUGAUGAAUGAAGUGCGUAGUGGCUGAAAGGCCAAAAGGCAGGCAGCAUUAAAAAUGCACACGCAAUCAGAAAAUGCCCCACGACGGCCUCAUAAGCCGAAGUCUGAGGACUCAGGACGCCAGAGUCCGGAACCCGGCACUUUCGACUCCGUGCGCAAUGCGAACCAGGUGAUGGAUCAGCGGCCUCAGAUAAGACAGACAGAAGAAGGACAAGGAAGGAGAAGCUGCAGAUGGAGAUGGAGCCAUAGCCAUAGCCAUAGCCAGAUCCAGAGUCGGGGUAAUGAGUGAGUUGAAUUGGGGCGGCUGACGUCAAAUGUUGUUAACCCCUUUUGAGCCGGGCCUCUCGCCGUGGAGAAACAAUUUAUAAUUUGUUUGAGGGCUUUCAGCGGCCUUUCAAGGCAAUUACCCCGCAUCCGCAUGGCGGACAGCUGGAUCUGACUUUACCUUUGGCAGCCGCCAACUGUGAACUUUGGCACCCAGAUUGGUCAGGAUUCGGGCCCGCUGACUGGGUCAUCCUGUUGGCCAUUCUCCAUUUUCACGCUGUGAUGUAUUGUGAAAACAUCGAGCAUGUUGCCUUUGACGGAACACCUUCAUUUGCACUGAACCAAAAACGAAGCAGCUUCUAGCCAAUGAUAAUACAUUGGAAAUUAUCAAUCUUAAACUCAUAGCUAAUCCGAGAUAGCUGCGGGAUUGUUGAUACUGUAAAGGGUUUGCAUUUGUCGCAAAUCCCAAACCAUAAACCAUAUUUUCACCAUGAAUAUCUUGAUGAUUUCGUGAAAGUGUAGCACACCAGUGAGUGAAAACGUGAUUGUUGACCCUUACGGAGAUAUGCACAGAUUUCCCAUUGACAGGAAAAGGACUUUCGCUCACUGUCCCGACUCCCCAAGGAUAUGAAAUUGUGCUGCCUUGCCAGCAGCAGCUACUUAUGUACUAGUGUUAUUUGUGGAUCUGUAUUAAAAUUCAAGCUCUUUCAUGCUAUUAAUAUUCCAUUGCGUAUUCGCGCGAGAAUAUAUUCCAUUUUUAAUAACACGAAACUUUAUGAAAAUUUUAUAAAUACAAAAGCAGCGAUGUGCAGGAGUAGCUGUUGCCAGAUUCCUUGACAGUAAGGAAAAGAAAAGGAAAGCUCAAAAGUCAAAGCAAACAGGGGCGAAGUCACUGGGGCCAAGGAUCCGAACCCAACCAAACUGAACCCCAAGCUGGAUAAAUUGCGCAAUGAAUCCGUUUGGGUGAUGGUGAAAGUCGGCUGCACACCAUCGAACCCACCCACAGCCACACCCACUCGCUCGAAUGAAAACAAAAAGUGGAAAAAAAAACAAUUGAAAUGUGAAUAUUAAAUAUACAAGUACAAGUUGCCAGUUAGUGUGCUCCCGCCAUUGUUUGUUGCAGCACCUUGCAGAUCCAGAACAAACACCCACGCAGCCACCUACUCAUCCUCCAUCCAACCACCCAUCCAACCAACCCACCGCUUGACGGCGAACUCCCCGCGGCGUCAUUGUGCUUCCUGGCAGGCGGCAGUGGAAAAUGCCAUUUGAUGGCAUUUAGAUGGGAUCGCUGAUUGAUGUUACCGGCUUCUACGCGAAUUCCCAAAGCCAGACCCGCGCUCGGUCAGUUGGAUUCCCUGGCGUUGGAUGGCUGCUGGCGUUUGGAGUACCGAAGAUGGAGGGUUUCGCUUCGGUUUCGUGGGCGCUCAAGAACUUGGCGAAAGGUGGCUCUACGGAAAUCGAGUAGGCGGAAGGCGGUCUUCAGCUGGCAUUAGUGAUAAGGUGGCGUCGGAUGAGUACCCCACUGCUCCUGGAUGGCUGGAAUGCAUAGUACUUAGCCGGCAUAGUAUAAAUUUCAAUUGAAAUCCCUACAGAUGAGGGUUACUCGCUACUCAUCAACUUUCCAACCUUAACCGUAAAACUAUGUCAAACUAAUAGUGCUAUGGAAUAGGGUCAGUUUGGCCAUGCCGGAUAACUAAAUCUUUCAGCUAGCUGCGCUAUUAUUACAUGGACAUCUCAACCCAUAUAUGGGCUAGCUGUUGUAUGUGGCACUUUUACCAUGGUUCCGGCAUAUGUGUAAUGCAUGCAACGAGGCACAUUAAUUAAAUAAAAAUUGAUUUUCCAAGCGCA